GGAAUUUUCCGCAAUGGGCGAAAGCCUGACGGAGCAACGCCGCGUGAGGGAGGAAGGCCUGUGGGUUGUAAACCUCUUUUCUCUGGGAAGAAGACCUGACGGUACCAGAGGAAUAAGCAUCGGCUAACUCCGUGCCAGCAGCCGCGGUAAGACGGAGGAUGCAAGCGUUAUCCGGAAUCAUUGGGCGUAAAGCGUCCGCAGGCGGCCAAUUAAGUCUGCUGUUAAAGCCUGGGGCUUAACCCCAGAUCGGCAGUGGAAACUGGUUGGCUAGAGUACGGCAGGGGUAGAGGGAAUUCCCAGUGUAGCGGUGAAAUGCGUAGAUAUUGGGAAGAACACCAGUGGCGAAGGCGCUCUACUGGGCCGAAACUGACGCUGAGGGACGAAAGCUAGGGGAGCGAAAGGGAUUAGAUACCCCAGUAGUC
rnacentral:rRNA from 1 species